CAGCCGUAAACUAUGCGCGUUAGGUGUACUGGUGACCACGAGUCACCGGGUGCCGAAGGGAAACCGUGAAACGUGCCGCCUGGGAAGUACGGUCGCAAGGCUGAAACUUAAAGGAAUUGGCGGGGAGCACCACAACGGGUGGAGCCUGCGGUUUAAUUGGACUCAACGCCGGAAAUCUCACCGGAUAGGACAGACAUAUGAUAGUCGGGCUGAAGACUCUACCUGAUGAUCUGAGAGGUGGUGCAUGGCGUCAGUGACU
rnacentral:rRNA from 1 species